ensembl:snRNA U6 U6 spliceosomal RNA
GUGCUCGCUUCGGCAGCACAUAUACUAAAACUGGAACGAUACAGAGAAAAUUAUCAUGGUCCCUGCACAAGGAUGACAUGCAAAUUCGUGAAGCAUUCCAUAUUUUU